AUGCCACUGGUGGUGUAGUGUCAAACAUUCCAGAACAGCCAAAACCGGUGUUGUAAUAUGCGCUCACUCUUCCAGGAAAUGCAGGUCGAGAUGCACCACCACUGCCUAUUUGUGAAACGCUCUCCAAUGAAGCACUCAGUACCACCAAUCACAUUUUGGCUCAUGCAAUUCACUUUGCAUUUAUCAAAGUACACCCAAAUAAAAAUUCACCAGGUCGAAACUGAUUAUAGCUGGGCUUUAAUACAAAGUGUGAUGCUCGCUUUCAACAAAGAGCACAUCGGCACUUACCUCAACAGAGCAUAUGACUUCUGCAUGAACAAAAAAAUCAGUGGAUGAAAUGAAGUCAUAUACUGUACUACACAUUUGCUCUGCUCACAUCCUGAAAGCUGUCAGACAGGCAAUCUGUAGGCAAACAGAUGACAAAGGACUGAGAUACUUUGCCACAUAUGCUUUCGCAAGACUUCAAAAUGCCAGCAACAUGACUUAAUAAAGAAAGGUGUUCCGUGCAUUAUGUGCCUUGCUCACAACCCAACAAAACACAGACCUCGUCAAAGAAAGUCUGCGUAUUUUGGAGAGUGUCAUUUCAAGAUCCAAAGUGGAGCCACUGGAAGAAACUCCCCAAUCUGAAGACUGGGAAAUGUGUGAAAGUGAAGACAGAACACAUGCAACGACCAUCAGUGGCAAAUCACCAUUCUAUGCCUUUUUUCAGCAGAUUAUGAAAGAGGUGAAGGAAGAAAUGGUUGAUGAUGACACAGGGUUGGCAACAGAAGACAACCCAUACUUUUGUCCAGGCAUUCUCACAGUCCUCUUUGAUAUGUACCUUGCUAUCUUUCCUCUUUGGAGUGGCUUGCUGUUGGGAGACCUGAUGGAUGAAUGUCAUGAACAGUACAUGGAGACAACAAAGAAACAACCAAAAACAAGAGAUGCCAACUGUCACAUUGAAAGGUGGUUUGGAAUUGUCAAACAUUCCAUAAUGCAUAAAGAAAGAAAAGUCAAAACAGGGACCUUCAUAAGAAAGAUGCACAAGUCUCUACAAGCGAGGUAUACAGAGCAUAUCAUCAAGCAUGUACUUCCUCAAAAGCUUUUGCGGCAACCUGAGGCACCUUUGAACCUUGAUCAAUCUCAAGAAACUUGGAAGAAGAAGGAAGACCGUUUCCCAUCCACCGAAUCCAAAUUCUUUUCUGUUCCACAUAAAAUACCUGCUCCCCAAAAAGAGGAUCAAGAAGGAUGUGGAAGUGGAAACUUCAAGUUCUGAUGCAUGUCAGCCUCCUGCAGAUGGACUCCAUGUAGAUGAACAGAUCCAGAUACUAUUGAAGAAGAAGGAACAUACAGAGCUGCUAGUUGUUGUAAUUGUUCAGUCUCCUAGCCAGGAUCUCGAGUUCCUUUUACAUCACAAGGAAUUCAAUGCACUGAGGCCACAUGAAUGGUUAUUUGGAGAGACUAUUGAGUGCUAUUUCAGAACUGUACUUAAUAAGGAGGAUGCAAAUCUCUACCAGCUAAGCCAUGACACCACAGGUGUCAUUUUAAAUGGCACAAGAGAGCAGAUGGAACAGCAAGGAUUUUGAAAAGUCAACUUAGAGCAAUAUGAUGGGGUCAUCACUUUUGUCAAUAUCACCAAAAAUCACUGGAGGUUUGUGUUUGUAUAUGCUCAGACUGACACCCUUUUCAUGCUUGACUCUCUGAGUGGUACAAAUGAAAUGAAAUGAAAAGGCAUGCCAAAAAUUCGGGUAUGAUAGUCUGUUUUAAAAAAGAUAUUUAGCAUGUGUAGAUCCAAAACAGUAAUAAUGGAAACUAAGCAAAGUUCAUGUUGUGUAAGACUACCAUAAUCACACACUGCCCCCAAAAAGAAUUACCCCCAAAAGAGGAGCAAUGCGUUAAGUGUGAACGCAAAGAAAUACGUCACAAAGAUGAUCAAUGCUCAAACUGUGGAUACAGACAAAGAGAUCCAGUAGAUGUGCUCUACGACUGGGUUCAAUGUGAAAUUUGUCUGAGGUGGUAUCGUCUCAACAUUAAAGUGCCAGCACAGGAAGAACCAUGGACUUGUGAUUUGUGUCUGUAAGCUAUUCAGUUAGAGGAGCUUAUGCUGAAAGUGUUCUUACAUUGUAAGAAAAAAUGUUUUGCCUAUUUGAUAUGUUAUGUAAAUGCUUUACACUUUUUUAGUAUUUGGUAUAGGCUUCAUAUUGUUGUGUUGCUUGUUGUCCUCUGCUGGUCUUUUAUGUGAAUGAAUUUUGGGGGAAGAAAUACUUGCAUUUGGGAGGUUGAAAUAUUUGUGAUAUUGGGUAGUUGACUUUUUAUUAUCUACAAAAACAUUUAAAACACCUAAAAUGUUUUUUUUUUCUUCUUUUUUUUCAUAAUUAGGAUGCAAGUGAAGUGAUAUGAACAAUGUAAGGGUUUUCAAUAACAACCUCUUUUACUUUAAGAAAGUGUUGUGGUUUAUGCUCUAUGUAAAAAAAUGACUUGUCAAAGAUCUUUGAUUACAGAAGUAUUUUUACUUUAUUGUACAACCAAGGAGAUAGCCUCUUCAGGAGACCGCUCCUGAUUUCUGCUAUUGUCUCACUAUAUAUACAGGCAAAAGCCCUUCGCCAUACAUUUUAUAGAUAUUCUGAGAAA